UGCAAAAGGUAAUUGGAGUGACAGCUGGGUAAAACAUUUCACCCACUAAAACGCGUUUCCCAAAUAGCGUUUUGGAGGGUUUAGCUUAGAGCUUUUUCAGAGGUUUCAAAUAGCGUUUUCCGGUGGUAUUGGAGCAUGAAAGAGCUAAAAAUCACUUCAAUUUCAGUUGAAUUUGGUGUUGUUACUCUGUAGAAAAUUGAUGAAAACUUGGAGGAAAUGUUGACGAAUCGCCCCAAGUAAUAGAAGCUGAUGAAAGCUUGGAGGAUGAAGAACCUGAUGUUGAAUGUGAAGUGGAGGUAAGGGAAGGACAGCACCUACUGCCAAGUGGAAUAGACAUACGGCCAUCAUGUGAUACAUAGGAAUGAGAGGUUUCAGAAUUGUUUGGACGCCUUUGGUACACCUGUAGGGGAAGGUUGGAGUGUUGAAAAUGGAAGAAGGGAAGCAGGAGGAGGUUGUGAACCGUCUGGAAGCGGGUAUGGUAUCCUCAAGCUAGGUUGAGGCUGACAAAUACUUUAGGCAGUAUGGGAAGCAACUUUGUGUUAGAGUCUUUGUUGCUGCUGGAAAUUCUAAAAUAGAGGAGGGUAGGCUGACAAAUACUUUAGGCAAUAUUGGAACCGUCCGGAAGUUCAUACUGAUAUUUUUGUAAACUGCUGUCCUUGAAGUAUAUACUGUCAUGUUAAAUACAAAUAUAGUUAUAUUUAGAGGAACACGAUAUUUAAGGAAUUAUACUACACUUUUUAUUCUUUUAUUUUACAUGAAUAAUUUUAUUUGUAAUUACAUCAAUCCAUACUACGUAUUUGCCA